rnacentral:rRNA from 1 species
UACGAAGGGGGCUAGCGUUGUUCGGAAUUACUGGGCGUAAAGCGUACGUAGGCGGAUCUGUAAGUAGGGGGUGAAAUCCCCAGGCUCAACCUGGGAACUGCCUUCUAGACUGCAAGUCUUGAGAUCAGGAUGAGGCGAGUGGAAUUCCGAGUGUAGAGGUGAAAUUCGUAGAUAUUCGGAGGAACACCAGUGGCGAAGGCGGCUCACUGGCUCGAACCUGACGCUGAGGUGGCGAAAAGCGGUGGGGAG